UAGUAAAAUGGCUGAAUAUAGGCGAUAAAUUGUAAAUUUAUUUAUGGGUAAUUCCCUUUUACUAGC
rnacentral:tRNA from 1 species